rnacentral:tRNA from 1 species
GGGGAUAUAGCUCAGUUGGCAGAGCGUCCGCUUCGCAUGCGGAAGGUCGGGGGUUCGAUUCCCCCUAUCUCCA